rnacentral:rRNA from 1 species
UACGUAGGGCGCAAGCGUUGUCCGGAAUUAUUGGGCGUAAAGAGCUCGUAGGCGGUUUGUCGCGUCUGCUGUGAAAACCCGGGGCUCAACUCCGGGCCUGCAGCCGAUACGGGCAGACUAGAGUUCGGCAGGGGAGACUGGAAUUCCUGGUGUAGCGGUGAAAUGCGCAGAUAUCAGGAGGAACACCGGUGGCGAAGGCGGGUCUCUGGGCCGAUACUGACGCUGAGGAGCGAAAGCGUGGGGAGCGAACAGG